rnacentral:rRNA from 1 species
UACGAAGGGUGCAAGCGUUACUCGGAAUUACUGGGCGUAAAGCGUGCGUAGGUGGUUUGUUAAGUCCGAUGUGAAAGCCCUGGGCUCAACCUGGGAAUGGCAUUGGAAACUGGCGGGCUAGAGUGCGGUAGAGGGUAGUGGAAUUCCCGGUGUAGCAGUGAAAUGCGUAGAGAUCGGGAGGAACACCAGUGGCGAAGGCGGCUACCUGGACCAGCUCUGACACUGAGGCACGAAAGCGUGGGGAGCAAACAGG